rnacentral:rRNA from 1 species
UGAGGACGUUGUUCAUGGCUCANAUUGAGACGCUCGUCUNUGACCAUGCCUUACACAUGCAAGUCGAACGGCAGCACGGGAGCUUGCUCCUGGUGGCGAGUGGCGAACGGGUGAGUAAUAUAUCGGAACGUACCCUAGAGUGGGGGAUAACGCAGCGAAAGUUGCGCUAAUACCGCAUACGAUCUACGGAUGAAAGUGGGGGAUCGCAAGACCUCAUGCUCAUGGAGCGGCCGAUAUCUGAUUAGCUAGUUGGUGGGGUAAAGUGCCUACCAAGGCAUCGAUCAGUAGCUGGUCUGAGAGGACGACCAGCCACACUGGAACUGAGACACGGUCCAGACUCCUACGGGAGUGCAGCAGUGGGGAAUUUUUGGACAAUGGGCGCAAGCCUGAUCCAGCAAUGCCGCGUGAGUGAAGAAGUGCCUUCGGGUUGUAAAGCUCUUUUGUCAGGGAAGAAACGGUGAGUGGCUAAUAUCCUUUGCUAAUGACGGUACCUGAAGAAUAAGCACCGGCUAACUACGUGCCAGCAGCCGCGGUAAUACGUAGG